rnacentral:rRNA from 1 species
GGUAACCUGCCCACAACUUUGGGAUAACGCUAGGAAACUGGUGCUAAUACUGGAUAUGUGCUCCUGCUGCAUGGUGGGGGUUGGAAAGCUCCGGCGGUUGUGGAUGGACUCGCGGCCUAUCAGCUUGUUGGUGGGGUAGUGGCCUACCAAGGCGGCGACGGGUAGCCGGCCUGAGAGGGUGACCGGCCACAUUGGGACUGAGAUACGGCCCAG